AACUGUAUAGCUCAAUGGUAGAGCAUGUGGAUAUGAUAUGGGCAACGUAACCAUCGUGACCACAGGUCCCAGUUUGAUUCUCGGUGCAGUCA